rnacentral:rRNA from 1 species
UCCAGACUCCUACGGGAGGCAGCAGUGAGGAAUAUUGGUCAAUGGCCGGAAGGCUGAACCAGCCAAGCCGCGUGAAGGACGAAGGUGCCAAGCAUUGUAAACUUCUUUUGUCAAGGGACAAAAUCAGGCUCGAGAGCCUGACCGAGGGUACUUGAAGAAAAAGCAUCGGCUAACUCCGUGCCAGCAGCCGCGGUAAUACGGAGGAUGCGAGCGUUAUCCGGAUUUAUUGGGUUUAAAGGGUGCGUAGGCGGCGCUUCAGGUCAGCGGUGAAAUACCGGGGCUCAACCCCGGGGCUGCCGUUGAAACUGGCAGUCUCGAGUUGGAGAGAAGUAUGCGGAAUGCGCGGUGUAGCGGUGAAAUGCAUAGAUAUCGCGCAGAACUCCGAUUGCGAAGGCAGCAUGCCGGCUCCACACUGACGCUCAUGCACGAAAGCGUGGGUAUCGAACAGGAUUAGAUACCCCCGUAA